rnacentral:sRNA from 1 species
GAAGCGUUUACCCCGCACCGGGAUGACUCCCGGGUCAGACGGGGACUUUCGCCUAGUAAUAGGUGAAUCA